GAAAUUGUUGUUUCAUAAAACUAAGAUCUUCCCACGUGGCUUCUGCCGGUGAGAGCCCUUGCCAAUGGACCAAUAGUUUUUGUUUCUUCUUUCUUGUUCUAUGAUAGAGUAUUGCAUAAGGUUUAGCAAUCAGCACCUCAUCACCCUCUCUGAUCAAGGGAAUUUGAGUUUGAACAGUUGUAUUCAUCCCAAUUUGCUUUUUAAGGAGAGAAACAUGGAAAACUGGAUGAAUUCGAGAGUUGGGUGGCAAUUCCAAUUUGUAAGCUACCGCUCCAAUUCACUGUAAGAUCUUGAAGGGACCGUAAUAUUUUGGAGAUAGUUUCAAAUUCCGUCUCAUGGCCACCGAUAAUUGCCGAUGCGGUUGCAACUUCAAAUACGUCAUAACUCCAAUUGAAAAUUCUCUCUCGGCGCUUGCCGUCAUAGACGUGUUUCAUCCUAGCUUGUGCUUCUUUGAUUUGCUCUUUCAAAUCCUUGAUAACCUUGUCUCGAUCACAUAAUUCUUGUUCCACUAGAGCGACCCUGGCUGUUCUUGGUACAUAGGUUAGAAGAGUGGGUGGGGCUCACCCAUAUACCUCUUCAAAGGGUGUUCUUUUGUUGGUUAAAUGCCAACUGGUAUUGUAGCAAAACUUUGCCCACAUUAGCCACUUGGCC
rnacentral:lncRNA from 1 species